rnacentral:rRNA from 1 species
GAUGAACGCUGGCGGCGUGCCUAAUACAUGCAAGUCGAGCGAAUGGAUUAAGAGCUUGCUCUUAUGAAGUUAGCGGUGGACGGGUGAGUAACACGUGGGUAACCUGCCCAUAAGACUGGGAUAACUCCGGGAAACCGGGGCUAAUACCGGAUAACGUUUUGAACCGCAUGGUUCGAAAUUGAAAGGCGGCUUCGGCUGUCACUUAUGGAUGGACCCGCGUCGCAUUAGCUAGUUGGUGAGGUAACGGCUCACCAAGGCAACGAUGCGUAGCCGACCUGAGAGGGUGAUCGGCCACACUGGGACUGAGACACGGCCCAGACUCCUACGGGAGGCAGCAGUAGGGAAUCUUCCGCAAUGGACGAAAGUCUGACGGAGCAACGCCGCGUGAGUGAUGAAGGCUUUCGGGUCGUAAAACUCUGUUGUUAGGGAAGAACAAGUGCUAGUUGAAUAAGCUGGCACCUUGACGGUACCUAACCAGAAAGCCACGGCUAACUACGUGCCAGCAGCCGCGGUAA